GGUUAAGCGACUAAGCGUACACGGUGGAUGCCCUGGCAGUCAGAGGCGAUGAAGGACGUGCUAAUCUGCGAUAAGCGUCGGUGAGGUGAUAUGAACCGUUAUAACCGGCGAUUUCCGAAUGGGGAAACCCAGUGUGUUUCGACACACUAUCAUUAACUGAAUCCAUAGGUUAAUGAGGCGAACCGGGGGAACUGAAACAUCUAAGUACCCCGAGGAAAAGAAAUCAACCGAGAUUCCCCCAGUAGCGGCGAGCGAACGGGGAGGAGCCCAGAGCCUGAAUCAGUGUGUGUGUUAGUGGAAGCGUCUGGAAAGGCGCGCGAUACAGGGUGACAGCCCCGUACACAAAAAUGCACAUAUUGUGAGCUCGAUGAGUAGGGCGGGACACGUGGUAUCCUGUCUGAAUAUGGGGGGACCAUCCUCCAAGGCUAAAUACUCCUGACUGACCGAUAGUGAACCAGUACCGUGAGGGAAAGGCGAAAAGAACCCCGGCGAGGGGAGUGAAAAAGAACCUGAAACCGUGUACGUACAAGCAGUGGGAGCCUCUUUAUGGGGUGACUGCGUACCUUUUGUAUAAUGGGUCAGCGACUUAUAUUCUGUAGCAAGGUUAACCGAAUAGGGGAGCCGAAGGGAAACCGAGUCUUAACUGGGCGUUAAGUUGCAGGGUAUAGACCCGAAACCCGGUGAUCUAGCCAUGGGCAGGUUGAAGGUUGGGUAACACUAACUGGAGGACCGAACCGACUAAUGUUGAAAAAUUAGCGGAUGACUUGUGGCUGGGGGUGAAAGGCCAAUCAAACCGGGAGAUAGCUGGUUCUCCCCGAAAGCUAUUUAGGUAGCGCCUCGUGAAUUCAUCUCCGGGGGUAGAGCACUGUUUCGGCAAGGGGGUCAUCCCGACUUACCAACCCGAUGCAAACUGCGAAUACCGGAGAAUGUUAUCACGGGAGACACACGGCGGGUGCUAACGUCCGUCGUGAAGAGGGAAACAACCCAGACCGCCAGCUAAGGUCCCAAAGUCAUGGUUAAGUGGGAAACGAUGUGGGAAGGCCCAGACAGCCAGGAUGUUGGCUUAGAAGCAGCCAUCAUUUAAAGAAAGCGUAAUAGCUCACUGGUCGAGUCGGCCUGCGCGGAAGAUGUAACGGGGCUAAACCAUGCACCGAAGCUGCGGCAGCGACACUAUGUGUUGUUGGGUAGGGGAGCGUUCUGUAAGCCUGUGAAGGUGGCCUGUGAGGGUUGCUGGAGGUAUCAGAAGUGCGAAUGCUGACAUAAGUAACGAUAAAGCGGGUGAAAAGCCCGCUCGCCGGAAGACCAAGGGUUCCUGUCCAACGUUAAUCGGGGCAGGGUGAGUCGACCCCUAAGGCGAGGCCGAAAGGCGUAGUCGAUGGGAAACAGGUUAAUAUUCCUGUACUUGGUGUUACUGCGAAGGGGGGACGGAGAAGGCUAUGUUGGCCGGGCGACGGUUGUCCCGGUUUAAGCGUGUAGGCUGGUUUUCCAGGCAAAUCCGGAAAACCAAGGCUGAGGCGUGAUGACGAGGCACUACGGUGCUGAAGCGACAAAUGCCCUGCUUCCAGGAAAAGCCUCUAAGCAUCAGGUAACAUCAAAUCGUACCCCAAACCGACACAGGUGGUCAGGUAGAGAAUACCAAGGCGCUUGAGAGAACUCGGGUGAAGGAACUAGGCAAAAUGGUGCCGUAACUUCGGGAGAAGGCACGCUGAUAUGUAGGUGAAGCGACUUGCUCGUGGAGCUGAAAUCAGUCGAAGAUACCAGCUGGCUGCAACUGUUUAUUAAAAACACAGCACUGUGCAAACACGAAAGUGGACGUAUACGGUGUGACGCCUGCCCGGUGCCGGAAGGUUAAUUGAUGGGGUUAGCGGUAACGCGAAGCUCUUGAUCGAAGCCCCGGUAAACGGCGGCCGUAACUAUAACGGUCCUAAGGUAGCGAAAUUCCUUGUCGGGUAAGUUCCGACCUGCACGAAUGGCGUAAUGAUGGCCAGGCUGUCUCCACCCGAGACUCAGUGAAAUUGAACUCGCUGUGAAGAUGCAGUGUACCCGCGGCAAGACGGAAAGACCCCGUGAACCUUUACUAUAGCUUGACACUGAACAUUGAGCCUUGAUGUGUAGGAUAGGUGGGAGGCUUUGAAGUGUGGACGCCAGUCUGCAUGGAGCCGACCUUGAAAUACCACCCUUUAAUGUUUGAUGUUCUAACGUUGGCCCGUAAUCCGGGUUGCGGACAGUGUCUGGUGGGUAGUUUGACUGGGGCGGUCUCCUCCUAAAGAGUAACGGAGGAGCACGAAGGUUGGCUAAUCCUGGUCGGACAUCAGGAGGUUAGUGCAAUGGCAUAAGCCAGCUUGACUGCGAGCGUGACGGCGCGAGCAGGUGCGAAAGCAGGUCAUAGUGAUCCGGUGGUUCUGAAUGGAAGGGCCAUCGCUCAACGGAUAAAAGGUACUCCGGGGAUAACAGGCUGAUACCGCCCAAGAGUUCAUAUCGACGGCGGUGUUUGGCACCUCGAUGUCGGCUCAUCACAUCCUGGGGCUGAAGUAGGUCCCAAGGGUAUGGCUGUUCGCCAUUUAAAGUGGUACGCGAGCUGGGUUUAGAACGUCGUGAGACAGUUCGGUCCCUAUCUGCCGUGGGCGCUGGAGAACUGAGGGGGGCUGCUCCUAGUACGAGAGGACCGGAGUGGACGCAUCACUGGUGUUCGGGUUGUCAUGCCAAUGGCACUGCCCGGUAGCUAAAUGCGGAAGAGAUAAGUGCUGAAAGCAUCUAAGCACGAAACUUGCCCCGAGAUGAGUUCUCCCUGAGACUUAGAGUCUCCUG
rnacentral:rRNA from 1 species